rnacentral:rRNA from 1 species
UACGUAGGGCGCAAGCGUUAUCCGGAAUUAUUGGGCGUAAAGAGCUCGUAGGCGGUUUGUCGCGUCUGCCGUGAAAGUCCGGGGCUCAACUCCGGAUCUGCGGUGGGUACGGGCAGACUAGAGUGCAGUAGGGGAGACUGGAAUUCCUGGUGUAGCGGUGAAAUGCGCAGAUAUCAGGAGGAACACCGGUGGCGAAGGCGGGUCUCUGGGCCGAUACUGACGCUGAGGAGCGAAAGCAUGGGUAGCGAACAGG